GGCUUAUGUAAUCCACGUUACCUAGGGAGGCGCACCCACCAGGCAGGCUGGAAACGACACUUCCUCCUCUGAAACGCGCUCCGAAUCGUAUCUCACUUUCAUCCAGCAGCCUCAGAGCAGCCGCAAGUAUCCGGGACAAACCGUUUCGCUGCAAAACUGGAAGAGGAGAAAAGAAGGUGGCUGGGAUUUCUGGGGCACUUCCUAGGGGCUGGCCCCGUGUUACAAGCACUUCGCAUGAGGAACUGUGGAAAUGUGGGUUCCCGCCGCCAGCCUGCCCUCACCCAGCCCCACCCCCCGACUCUGGUGUUCGGUGAAGUCACGUGUCAGUACCAGGGGCAGCCUGACAGGACUCCGCUCUCAAUUUGUGUUUGUUGAUCUGUGUAACACCCAGGUGAAGAAUUGAAGCCCAGAGAGGCUCUGAGACCACCUAAGGCCACACAGUAGCCAUAAGGUAGAGAAGACAUAGGAUGCUGGACCCCAAGCCCCACAUGCUGGCAGAUGAAGACCAAGACUUCCGGAAAUUCAACAAAUGUUUACUGAACCUCUGUUUUGCCCAGCACCUGGAGCCGAUGCCCCUGCUUUUCUUCCUGAAGGUUUGAGGGGCUUAUGCUUUGUAGCCCCAGUCACCUGCCCAUCAAGCAAAAAGCAGCCCCUUCAGGAUCCCCUCCCCGCCCCAUGGGCUCCAGUGUUUCUACUUACAUACAGGAGUCCAGGAGAAAUGAGAAA